GUCCGUCGCCGGGCGUCGACCGCGCGUCGACAGCGCCGGCGUGACGGACCCUCGGAGGGAGUCAAACCCUCCCGGCUGACACUCAUUAGAGCGUUGCCGAGCUGGGAGAGGGUCGUGUUUAAGUGUCAACAGAUGUUGCCUCCACCCAGCUCUUGAGCAGAAACAAUUCAUGGGAGGAGGACUGCCUCUUCUGUCGAUGUUCAUCUCCCUGCUGCCUGCCUGGUGGCACUCCAGCUCGACGUGAAUACGGCUCCUCACGUUCCUAAUCUGGUCAGCUCGUACCAGCUGAUGGUCUGGGGCCAAACCAGCGGCUGAAACAAAGACACAAUGAACAGCCGUCGGUUUCUCUAACCUCCUCCACCCAACAUAGUGACGGAGGAGAGCUGAGUGGUGCUCAGGGCUCCCAGGCCCUGGCUAUCCGUGUCCGUUCCUGUUAUUUACCUCGGUGAUUAUUCCCGACAGCCGGCCCCAGCUCAGCCCGCCGUUCCUCCAACUCAUCCCGGUGUUCCACGACGGAGGAAUCCGGGUUUCCUUGAAUAAAGAACAAGGUGUUCCUCCGUGGCAGACGCAGACAGCUCUACUCACACUCAUCGUCAGGUGUAUCUGCGCUGGGCUCCGGGGUCAGGGGAGGCGGUGGACGCUUUAGGAGGUCACCUGGUCGAGGUUCAGCUUGCAGGUGUAUCUCUGCGCUGUGCUCCUGGGUCAGGGGAGGCGGUGGACGGUUAUGAAGGUGAUCUGGUCGAGGUUCAGCAGCGCCUGAGGUCCCAUCCCGGAGCCCUCCACGCGGGCGGCCGUGCACGCCGGGGAACGCACGCGCGCACGCCGUGGACUGAGAUGGCGUCGUCACGACCGCACAGAGGACGGCAGAACAGAUAGCAUGAAGAUAGCAUAAUGGUGGCGGAGAAUUGGUGAGGGUUAUUUGAUGGCCGCAUGGAUAGCAAGAGAC
ensembl:lncRNA